CUUUAAAAGUGUCCUGUACCAAGUCAGGAAGAUGGCCAUUGUUAUAAUAUUGUUCGUUUCUGUGUGUGUUGCAUUUUAACGUUGAGUCGUUUGUGUUUUCUCUUAUUUUUUUAGAUAAGACGUGGCACGGUACUUAUCUAUCCCAAAUUCUUGUAUUUGGUUUUGAUGUUAUAUUUGUUAUUCUCGUGGUGUUUUGUCUGUUGCUUGGUCCGUUUCUGUGUGUGUUGCGUUUCGGUGUUGUGUCGUUGUUCUCCUCUUAUAUUUAAUGCGUUUCCCUCGGUUUUAGUUUGUUACCCCGAUUUUGUUUUUUGUCCAUGGAUUUAUGAGUUUUGAACAGCGGUAUACUACUGUUGCCUUUAUUUGUU
rnacentral:lncRNA from 1 species